UGGCUACCCUUUAAUUAUACCUCAAACCCCAAAGUAAACACUCUUGCAGCUGGUUACAAAUAGCCAAAAAUAUGUCUAUUGAACACAGGAAAUAGUCCUUUUAAUGUAUUAGAAAGAAUAUGAGGUAAAAUUGCUGAAAUUAUACAGAAAUAAAAUUAUAUUGAUAGAGAAUGAAGACUAUAAAGGAUAAGCACACAAGCUAUGAGGAGACUAUAGGCUACGUACAAGAUUAUGAUAAGCACUAUCUAUAAUGGCUAUGAGGUAAACUAUGAGCUAAGUACAAGGUAAGUACUGAGCUAUAAUCUAUGAGAUAAGUACUUCUCUAUAAUGGUAAGUACAUUAAGCUAUGCUAUACUAUCUAUGCUGAAGAUAAGUACUAUAGGUAAGUAUAUGAAGCUAUGCUGAGACUAUGAGGUAAACUAUACGCUAUAAUAACUAUGUGGUAAGUACAAGGCUAUGACAAGCACUAUAAUGGCUAUGAGGUGAACUACAGUAGAGUCUCACUUAUCCAACGUUCUGGAUUAUCCAACGCAUGUUUGUAGUCAAUGUUUUCAAUGCAUUGUGAUAUUUUGGUGCUAAAUUAGUAAAUACAGUAAUUACUACAUAGCAUUAAUGUGUAAUGAACUACUUUUUCUGUCAAAUUUGUUGUAUAACAUGAUGUUUUGGUGCUUAAUUUGUAAAAUCAUAACCUAUUUUGAUGUUUAAUAGGCUUUUUCUUAAUCUCUCCUUAUUAUCCAACAUAUUCGCUUAUCCAACGUUUUGCCGGCCCAUUUAUGUUGGAUAAGUGAGACUCUACUGUAUAAGGGAAGUACAAGGCUAUGAUAAGCACUAUCUAUAAUGGCUAUGAGGUGAACUAUAAGGUAAGUAAGUGAUUUAUGUUGCCUGUUUGAAUUUGCCAGGUCAAAGAACCCAGACCAAAUUCUAAAACCUAUCUCUAAGAGGUUUUUCUCUGGAAUCCCAAAGGAAGGAAAAAGCCUCUAGACUAGCUCUCAAGCUGCAGGCUGAACCAUCUCAUCCAAACCUACAGGGGAGUCCCAAUCUCCACCCCCAAAAUGAGAGCCAAUGGAACAGUCCUCCCAAGAACAGCAACCAGGAAAUAAGCAAGAGCAGGAAAGCCAAGAAAAUACUGUUCUGAAAUUCUGUAUGGAAAUAAAUCUGAAAUCAUUUUAAAGGAAUGUUACCAGUAAAAUGUGUGUUUCAUUCAGACCAUAAGCGAAGUCAUAAGCAUCAACAUCAACCCAGGCAACAGCAGUUAGCUGGGACAGAUCUUCCAUCAAAAUAGCCUUGAUGAAUUUGUUGCUCAUCAUUUUUGCACAGGAUCCAAAUGAAUCAUGAACACAAUUCAAAGUAAGAACAGAAAACACUGUUCUCGCAUGGAACAAGCUUUACAGCAGCAGCACAUGAUUUCCCAAGUAGCACAAUAAUGACAUUAACCCAACAAUGCUAUGACGUGGAAACUUGAAUUAAGCUCCUAUUGAACCACAACACUGACAGGUCUGAUCCCAAUCAUUCUUACUGCAACUGGGGACCUGUUCCAGUAGCAUAGCUGGUAAAUCACCAGCAGUAAUAAGAUCUACUAACCGAAACAUGGCCAGUUCGAAGCCCAGUCCGGGUGAGCACCCAACCGUCAAGCCCAGCUUACUGUUUACCUAAGCAGUUCAAAAACAACUUCUUGCUAUAAGUGGAGAAAUUAGGUACCGCAAAUCGUGGGGGAGGUAUUUUAUGACACCAUAAAGAACAAGACCAGAAUGCGGUGACCAAAAGGGAGUUGGUUGGAGGAAGCCCUGGUGGCUCUUUGUCAUAGAGAAUGGAGCAAGAGCACCCUUCUGUGACUGAAUUUGAGCUCAAUCUCCAAGGCACCAAAAAAACUGGACUUCAAGACAACUUACCUCAUUCUGUCUGUCUGUCUGUUCUGCUCUGUUCUGUCUGUCCAAAUAGCAUUGAAUGUUUGCCAUGUAUGUGUACUGUGAACUGCCCUGAGUCCUCUUGGGGAGAUAGGGAAGAAUAUAAAUAACUUGUUGUUGUUGUUGUUGUUGUUGUUGUUGUUGUUGUUGUUGUUGUUAUUCCAGGCCAGAAUUUGCUGAGCACCUGAUUUUUUUCAGGACAUAAACUGGGUUUAUAUCUUUAAACAGGGUGUAAGCUCAGAGGAAGUGGAAUGACAAAAAGAUAAACACAAUAAAUCACAAGAGUUUGCA